ACUAUUUUGGCAGAAAAUGCCAUGGGUUUAGAACCCAUUAAUGUAAAUAUUAUUUUACAAAUAGUA
rnacentral:tRNA from 1 species